ensembl:misc_RNA Metazoa_SRP Metazoan signal recognition particle RNA
GCUGGGCGUGGUGGUGCGUGCCUGUAAUCCCAGCUACUCGGGAGGCUGAGGCAGGAGAAUUGCUUGAACCUGGAAAUUGGAGGUUGCAGUGAGCCAAGAUCACGCCACUGAACUCCAGCCUGGUGACAGAGCAAGACUCCGUCUCAA